rfam:Picea glauca, whole genome shotgun sequence.
ACAUGCCUAUAACAUAGCCUUAAUGCAUCAAAUUCCAUUAUAACUCCAUAUUUUAGAGUGCUCUGGCUAGAGUAGUACUGGGAUGGGUGACCACCCGAGAAAUCCUAGUGUUUCACAUGCC